UCUUUAGGGAUGCUUCUGAGUAUGGAUGG
rnacentral:piRNA from 1 species